GUUUGUUUAUUUUUAUGCUAAUAAAGUGAUUCAAAGGAAUUUUUGAAAUGGCAAAAAUCACUGGUACUGUGAAGUGGUUCAAUGAGUCUAAAGGUUUUGGUUUUAUUACUCCAGCUGAUGGUAGCAAAGAUGUAUUUGUACAUUUUUCUGCAAUUAUGAAAGAUGGGUUUAAAACAUUAUCUGAAGGCCAACAAGUUGAGUUUGAAAUUCAGGAUGGUCCUAAAGGUCCUGCUGCUGCAAACGUAUCAGCUUU
rnacentral:sRNA from 1 species